rnacentral:rRNA from 1 species
UACGAAGGGGGCUAGCGUUGCUCGGAAUCACUGGGCGUAAAGCGCACGUAGGCGGCUCUUUAAGUCAGAGGUGAAAUCCCAAGGCUCAACCUUGGAACUGCCUUUGAUACUGGGGAUCUUGAGUCCGGGAGAGGUGAGUGGAACUGCGAGUGUAGAGGUGAAAUUCGUAGAUAUUCGCAAGAACACCAGUGGCGAAGGCGGCUCACUGGCCCGGUACUGACGCUGAGGUGCGAAAGCGUGGGGAGCAAACAGG